GCUCCAAUAGCGUAUAUUAAAGUUGUUGCAGUUAAAAAGCUCGUAGUUGAAUUUCUGGCCGGCGCUGUUCACGGCUCUCGCAGUCGGUUCAGGAGCCUGGUCAUCCGUAUGGGAAGCUAGCACGUCCUCAGUGGUCGGCUAGUGGAUCAUACACUUUACUUUGAAAAAAUUAGAGUGUUUCAGGCAGGCAAUUGCUUGGA
rnacentral:rRNA from 1 species